rnacentral:misc_RNA from 1 species
GAAAUGCGAUAAGUAAUGUGAAUUGCAGAAUUCAGUGAAUCAUCGAAUCUUUGAACGCACCUUGCGCUCCUUGGUAUUCCUUGGAGCAUGCCUGUUUGAGUAUCAUGAAAUCUUCAAAGUAAAUCUUUUGUUAACUCAAUUGGUUUCUACUUUGGUAUUGGAGGUCUUUGCAGCUUCACACCUGCUCCUCUUUGUUCAUUAGCUGGAUCUCAGUGUUAUGCUUGGUUCCACUCGGCGUGAUAAGUUAUCUAUCGCUGAGGACACUGUAAAAGGUGGCCAAGGUAAAUGCAGAUGAACCGCUUCCAAUAGUCCAUUGACUUGGACAAUACUUUUAUGAUCUGAUCUCAAAUCAGGUAGGACUACCCGCUGAACUUAAG